GACGAACGCUGGCGGCGUGCUUAACACAUGCAAGUCGAACGGAAAGGCCCUGCUUUUGUGGGGUGCUCGAGUGGCGAACGGGUGAGUAACACGUGAGUAACCUGCCAUUGACUUUGGGAUAACUUCAGGAAACUGGGGCUAAUACCGGCUAGGAGCUCCUGCUGCAUGGUGGGGGUUGGAAAGUUUCGGCGGUUGGGGAUGGACUCGCGGCUUAUCAGCUUGUUGGUUGGGUAGUGGCUUACCAAGGCUUUGACGGGUAGCCGGCCUGGGAGGGUGACCGGCCACAUUGGGGCUGAGAUACGGCCCAGACUCCUACGGGAGGCAGCAGUGGGGAAUAUUGCACAAUGGGCUGAAGCCUGAUGCAGCAACGCCGCGUGCGGGAUGACGGCCUUCGGGUUGUAAACCGCUUUCGCCUGUGACGAAGCGUGAGUGACGGUAAUGGGUAAAGAAGCACCGGCUAACUACGUG
rnacentral:rRNA from 1 species